rnacentral:rRNA from 1 species
UACGAAGGGUGCUAGCGUUGUUCGGAAUCACUGGGCGUAAAGCGCGCGUAGGCGGCGAUACAAGUCAGAGGUGAAAGCCCGGAGCUUUAACUCCGGAAUUGCCUUUGAAACUGCAUUGCUAGAGUGUCGGAGGGGAUAGCGGAAUUGCUAAUGUAGAGGUGAAAUUCGUAGAUAUUAGCAGGAACACCGGUGGCGAAGGCGGCUAUCUGGACGACAACUGACGCUGAGGCGCGGAAAGCGUGGGGAGCAAACAGGGAUUAAGCAUACCCGUGG